UGCAAGUCGAGCGCACUCUUCGGAGUGAGCGGCGGACGGGUUAGUAACGCGUGGGAAUAUACCCUUCACUAUGGAAUAGCCUCGGGAAACUGAGAGUAAUACCAUAUACGCCCUUCGGGGGAAAGAUUUAUCGGUGAAGGAUUAGCCCGCGUAAGAUUAGAUAGUUGGUGGGGUAAUGGCCUACCAAGUCUACGAUCUUUAGCUGGUUUGAGAGGAUGAUCAGCAACACUGGGACUGAGACACGGCCCAGACUCCUACGGGAGGCAGCA
rnacentral:rRNA from 1 species